GGAGUUUGGACCGUGUCUCAGUUCCAAUGUGGGGGACCUUCCUCUCAGAACCCCUACUGAUCGUAGGCUUGGUGGGCCGUUACCCCGCCAACAACCUAAUCAGACGCAUCCCCAUCCUAUAGCGGUGAACCUUUGUUCCAACUUAGAUGUCUGCAUUGGAAAACAUAGAGUAUUAAUCCGACUUUCGCCGGGCUAUCCUCUACUAUAGGGAAGGUUGGAUACGCGUUACUCACCCGUGCGCCGGUCGCCAUCAACAAUAGCAAGCUAUCGUCAUGCUGCCCCUCGACUUGCAUGUGUUAAGCCUGUAGCUAGCGUUCAUC
rnacentral:rRNA from 1 species